GGACCCGCACAAGCGGUGGAGCAUGUGGUUUAAUUCGACGCAACGCGAAGAACCUUACCUGGGUCUUGACAUCCUGCGAACUUUCUAGAGAUAGAUUGGUGCCUUCGGGAACGCAGUGACAGGUGCUGCAUGGCUGUCGUCAGCUCGUGUCGUGAGAUGUUGGGUUAAGUCCCGUAACGAGCGCAACCCUUGUCCUUAUUUGCCAUCAUUUAGUUGGGCACUCUAGGGAGACUGCCGGUGACAAACCGGAGGAAGGUGGGGGACGACGUCAAGUCAUCAUGGCCCUUACGACCAGGGCUACACACGUGCUACAAUGGGGCGUACAAAGGGUUGCAAUCCCGCGAGGGGGAGCUAA
rnacentral:rRNA from 1 species